rnacentral:rRNA from 1 species
CGUAGCAAUACGGGGGAAGCGGCAAACGGGGUAGGAAGGAUUGGUGACGUGCCCUUCGGACGGGGAUAGCCAUGGGAAACUAUGGGUAAUACUCGAUGGUCUCCUGGGUUUGAAUGCUCGGGUGAAAAGGUGUGAUUCCACCGGGGGAGCGGCCAAUCUGACAUCAGCUAGUUGGUAAGGUAACGGCUUACCAAGGCUUUGACGUCUAGGGGGUGUGAGAGCAUGGCCCCCACCACUGGGACUGAGAUACUGCCCAGACACCUACGGGUGGCUGCAGUCGAGAAUCUUCGGCAAUGGGCGAAAGCCUGACCGAGCGACGCCGCGUGCGGGAUGAAGGCCUUCGGGUUGUAAACCGCUGUCAGAGGGGAUGAAGUGCUGAGUGGUAAUUCAUAAUCCAUUCGGUUUGACAGAGCCUCAGAGGAAGCACGGGCUAAGUAUGUGCCAGCAGCCGCGGUAAUACAUACUGUGCGAACGUUAUUCGGAUUUACUGGGCUUAAAGGGUGCGUAGGCGGCUUGUUAAGUAGGAUGUGAAAGCCCUCAGCUCAACUGGGGAACUGCAUUCUAUACUGGCGAGCUAGAGUGGGAUAGGGGUGUGUGGAACUGCCAGUGGAGCGGUGAAAUGUGUUGAUAUUGGCAGGAACGCCGGUGGCGAAAGCGACACACUGGGUCUCGACUGACGCUGAGGCACGAAAGCCAGGGGAGCGAACGGGAUUAGAUACCCCGGUAGUCCUGGCCGUAAACGCUGAGUACUCGUUUGGAGCGACUGCGGUCGCUGCAGAC